CGGCGCCGGACCUGAGCCACUCUGCGCAGCCUCGCUGGAUGCCGACGCGCGGGCCCGGGUCCUGCAGCAGCGCUAGCUACUCUGUGCGCCUGACACCCCGGCCCUUCGGCAGCCCCAGUGUUCCUGUAAACGUUGGAGCCAAGAGCCGGAGUCAGCGCCUUGGACCUGGGAGAGGCCAGGAGGCCAGGGAGCCUCAAGCACUCUGGAGGAAGAAGCCUGAAAUGAAAAGGACUCCAUUUGAAAAUGGCAGUUCCACCAGGCAGCAGAAGGAUUUUCCCUGGAGCUGGCCCUCCCGUCACUGCGCCACUUCUAACGCCCGUGCAGAUUAAAAGCUGCCAUGUAUGGGCAGAUGUGGAUCCUAUAUUUUGAUUUCAUCUAAUUCUUCUUAAACUGGGCUGGCUUAUUUAAUAGGAGGACGUUGUGGCUCUUGCUGAAGGCAGAAUUAGCAACCAUUCCAUUACCUUUUAAGACAUCUGUGGACAAUCUUUCCCAACCACAAAAUCAUUUCCAUUCUCCAACCAUCAAGUUUUCAAAUGGAUUUCGUAAAUGUGCAAAAACUCCAAGCAAAUCUAUUUUUAAAAAAUGUCAGGCUGCAAAUAAGGAAAAUCAGAAAGGGAGAAGCGAACACCAUCUGUCAAUGCCCCACCGGCCUUCACAGCAGCCCAGUUCUUAUGAUUAACCUAGCAUACUCCCCAUAAAGUCUAAAUCAUUCUCACCUUCCCAGGAGUUUGUAAGCCAGACAAUUGUGAAGGGGAACGACUCAUAAUAUGACUGCAAAAUUUCACAGUUGAAAGUCAAAUAGCAAUGAUUUUGCUUUGCCAGCCUGACACCACCUUGACCAUGUGGAUGUGAGUCCCUGGGCAGUGAACAUGCUCUGUGAAGCGUCGGAGUCAUGUUGGUGCAAGCAGCUCCUCGGUUUAAAAGGUGCUAGGACAUGGUCACAGAGGGCAUCGGGCACUUUUUUCUCCAUCAAAAUUCCAUACAUUAUGAUAACUGGGGAAUUAAUGCCAACCACAACCACAACAUAAAACCUCCACCAGUUAUGCUGUGUAUGAGUCUGAGUUCUCCAGAAAAAUAAUAUAUAUCCUAUCGGUUCUGUUAUAUCUAUAUAUCCUAUAGUUGUGUGUGUAUGUGUGUGUGGUGUGUACAGUCAUGCAUUGCUUACUAAUGGAUACAUUCUGAGGAAUGGGUUGUUAGGUGAUUUCAUCCUUGUGCAAACAUCAUAGUGCAUUUACACUCACCUAGUGUAGCCUACUCCACACCAAGCCUGUGUGGUACAGCCUAUUGCUCCCAGCCUGCAGACCUGUACAGCAUGGGACUGUACUGAAUACAGUAGGCGGCUGUAACACAGUGAUAAGUAUUUGUGUAUUUAAACGUAGAAAAGGUACAGUAGAAAUACAGCAUGAAAGAUAAAAAAUAAGACACCUGUAUAGGGAGUUUAACCAUGAAUGAAGCUUGCAAGACAGGAAGUUGCUCUGAGUGAGUCAGUGAGUGGUGAGUGAAUGUGAAGGCCUAGGACGGGACUGCACACUACUGUAGGCCUAUAGACAUUGUACACUCAGGCUACACUACAUCGAUUUAAAAAAUAAAGUGCUUAUGCUGUGACAUCGUGACAAGCUAUAAUAUCACUCAGCAAUAGGAACAUUUCAGCUUCAUUAUGCUCUUAUGGAAUCACUGUUGUAUGUGAGGUGCCUCAUUACCUGAAAUGUUAUGGCACAUGACUGUACGUAUAUACAAUAAUACGUAUAUAAUGAGAUUUAUGUCUUCUUAUAAGGAAUAGGCUCCUGCAAUUACAGAGGCUGAGAAGUCCCAAGGUCCGCAGGUGGCAAGCUGGAGACCCAGGAGAGCUGAUAAUGUAAGUUCCAGUCUGAGUUUAUGGGUGUGAGAUCCAGGAAAGCUGGUGAUGUGGUUCUAGUCCAAGUCCAAAUCUGAAAGCAGGAGAAGACCAACAUCCCAGCUCAAGGACAGCCGGGCAGAGAGAACUUAGUCUUUUUUAUUUUCCAUUCAGGCCCUCAGUGGAUCGAAAGGGGCUGACCCACAUUGGGGAGGGCAAUCUUCUUGACUCAGUCUAUAAAUUUGAGUAUUUCUCAUCCAGAAACACCCUUGCAGACACACCCAGAAUAAUGUUUAACCAAAUAUCUGGGCAACCUGUGGCCCAGUCAAGUUGACACAUAAUAUAUACCACCACAUGCUGGUACUUAAAAGCAUUAAGGAUCAUUUCACAAAUGUGUUGACCAUUUUAACCCACUCCUCCCCUGUGUGUAACUCAGACCAUGUAACCUGAGACCCCAUGUUAAAAUUCAGCCCUUGGACUAUGUCUUAAGGAUGUCCCCAUGGGUCUAGACAUGCCACACAUAGAUUCAUUGACAAUCUCUGAAGAGAACUAAGGCAGGCAUUCAUUUUCCUCACAUCUAUAUAGUCUUAAAUAAGAGCUGCCAUUCAGAUACUGAAAUGUGUGGUGCAUUAACCUGCUGAGAAACACUCACUCUACUUAUUAUUUCUGAGCAAGACCCCACAUCUACUAACUAGCACUCUUGUUCUCUUCUCCCAUGUCCUUCUGCUCUUCCUUCUACCGGGCAAGCCCCAACCAUGGGCAUGAUAAUGUCAAAAGCAGACUUGAGAAGAGCAAAAAGAAGACACUUCCUUAUUCACGGACCACCUCAUUCAUUCAUUCAUGCACCAUUCAUUUUGAAAAGAAAUAAUCUGCCAUUUGGGUGGCAAGGAGGAGGUGACAAAACUGAACAUAUUAGGAAGGCACAAGAGAGUGAAGUUUAGAAUUCUUUGCACACAAGUAUUGAAAUGAUGAGUGAGUGGGUUAAAGGAAGAGUGACUUAUUGACUGAGGUGGAAAGAGUGAGUGCAGUGGACAGUGACUGAGAUCCAAAGUCCAAAGUUGGAGGACAUUCAAGGAAUGACAAUGAUCAGGAGUAACAUCCGCUUGGUGCAACAUGCCAUGAGACUUUCUGAGCUGGACAGGGAGCUGCAGGCCUGCAGGGAGGAGCGUGACUUUGGCCAGAGUCACACUGCUGCUGGUUCCUCCUUCUCUGUCCCUGUCAAUUGUCCCUGACCUUGCCCCCGACUCUUCAACUCUUUCAACCCUUUUUUAAAUCUCUUUCUAUUUUAGCAUAUAAAUUGUGGUAAAAUAUACAUAACAUGAAAUUUACCAUCUUAGCCAUUUUUAAGUGUGUAGUUCAGUGAUAUUCAUCACAUUCACAAUGUUGUGCAGCCACCACCACCAUCCAUCUCCAGACCUUUUUCAUCUUGCAAAAUGGAAAGUCUGUCCCCAUUAAACCAUAACUCCCCAUUCCCCUUCUCCCCAGCCCCUGGCGAUCACUCUUCAACUUUCUGACUUUAAGAAUUUGAUGGCGAGGGACUUCAUUUGGUGGAAUCAUACCGUAUUUGUCCCUUUGUGUCUGGAGAAUAUCACUUAGCAUGUCUUCUAGAUUCUUCUAUAUUGUCACAUGUGUCAUUUUCCUUUGUGAGGUGGAAUAAUAUCCUACUGUGUGGAUGCGUCAGUUUGUGCAUCCAUUCAUGCAUCAGCAGAUGCUUGGAUUGUUUCCAUCUUUUGACUAUUGCAAAUAAUGCUGCUGUAAACAUGAAUGUGCAAAUAUCUGUUUGAGUUCUUGCUUUCAGUUCUUUUGUAUAUAUACCCAGAAGUGGCAUUGCUGAAUCAUAUGGUGAUCAUAUAGUUAAUUUUUGGAGAAACUGCCAUCAUGUUUUCUUUUUUUUUGAGACAGAGUCUCACUCUGUCGCCCAGGCACAAUCUCGGCUCACUGCAACCUCUGCCUCCUGGGCUCAAGUGGUUCUCCUGCCUCAGCCUCCCGAGUAGCUGGGACUACAGGCGUGUGCCACCAUGCCUGGCUAAUUUUUGUAUUUUUAGUAGAGACAAGAUUUCACCAUGUUAGCCAGGUUGGUCUUGAUCUCCUGAUCUCAGGUGAUCUGCCUGCCUCCGCCUCCCAGAGUGCUGGGAUUACAGGCAUGAGCCACCAUGCCCAGACCGCCAUAAUGUUUCCGGUAGCAGCUGCACUGUUUUACGUUCCCACCAGCCAUGCGCAAGAGUUCCAAUUUUUCCACAUCCUUGCCAACACUUGUUGUUUACUGUUUUUUUUGUUGUUGUUGUUGUUAGUAUUUAUCCUAAUGGGUGUUGUCCCCAGCCUUUGGGUUUCCUAGGAUCCAGCCCCUGGACUCUCUCUUUCACAUCCACACUCAUCCAUUUGUGGUAUCUUCCAGGCAGAAGGCGUCAUAGGACAUCCACCCACUAAUGACUCACAGAUCUGUUAUCUCCUGCUGAGAUUUCUGUCUCAAAAUCCAGACUCCUUUAUACAGCUGCCUGCCUACUUUCCUCCGGAUACCCAAAAGACACCUCAAAGUCAACAUUUCCACAUCUGAAUUCCUGAUCUGUACAUCCCCACCCAAAGCUACUUCACCCACGGCAUCCCCAUCUAGAGGAUGGCAAGUCCAUUCUUCCAGGGGCCACUGCCCUUAGACUUUGCCCAAAGCGGGAGGCUCUCAGGGGGACUCCUUCCCUACAGGGUCCCUCUUACUGCAGGCAUAUGUGCACACACAUACACAUGCCAUUUAGGCAAGAACAUACGGGUUUCUAAGUCGUCAUGAAGCAGGGCUUGGUGCUGGCAAGGCAGGACCCUGAAACAUUUGCUCUGGAUUCUGAUGAUACUCGGGCCCUGGGAACACCCCCCCAACCCCCCUACACAGACAAAUCACCCGCCCUGUGCCAUUGUCUCAGUACCACAGAGGUUUGUGGUGGAGCUGCUCCGUGGGAGACAGAUGCUGCCUCUGUAUGUAAGGGGGACCUGAGUAGGGAAGAGCAAAGACAAACGUAUUAACUUCUCACACCCUUCUUUUAAGCAAGGUUACAAUAGAUUCUUGUGUAAUGAAGUAUCACUUCCCAGAAUUGCCCAGUGUCCAUUUUCUUACUUGUCUUCAUGAUCUAAUAUGUGAUUCCAGAUCUGCUCUGGUGAGCACGGGGUCCACAACAAUUGCAUGUGGUUGCUGAGGAACCAUGGCUGACAAUAUUAAGCAAUGCGUAGUCUCAAAUUUGCAUAAAUGUAGGUCUAGUUAUAACCUACAUGAAGUGAGACACCCUUCCUUCCUUCCUUCCUUCCUUCCUAACUUCCUUCUUUCUCUCUCUCUCCCCUCCCUCCCCCUCUCUCCCUCUCCCUCUCUCCCUCUC
rnacentral:lncRNA from 10 species